UGAGUAACCUGCCCUUCACUUCGGGAUAACUCCGGGAAACCGGGGCUAAUACUGGAUAUGACCUGGUGCCGCAUGGUGCUGGGUGGAAAGUUUUUCGGUGGGGGAUGGACUCGCGGCCUAUCAGCUUGUUGGUGAGGUAGUGGCUUACCAAGGCGACGACGGGUAGCCGGCCUGAGAGGGUGACCGGCCACACUGGGACUGAGACACGGCCCAGACUCCUACGGGAGCA
rnacentral:rRNA from 1 species